rnacentral:lncRNA from 1 species
CUAAACACAAAGUUCACAUAUGUAGGAUGCAUACCAAAUUUAUGCAUGUAGUCUUGUAAUUUUCCACAACAGAUUUUAGCGUGUCCAUAUGUGGACCUAUCAGGUGAGGACAGGUGCGUGUGCCGUGGUAUUCAUGUUCAAACAACUUCAGCUUUUCUGCAGCAUUCUGAACUUCCAAUAUCCAGAUAAAGAGAUAUGCACUAUCUUAGCUUGCUUUCAAUUGCUGUUGAUAAAACAUCGUGACCAAAAGCAACUUGGGAGGGAGGGAGGGGUUUCCUUCACCUUACAGCUUGUAGUCCAUCACGAAGAGAAGUCAGGGUAGGGACUCAAGGCAGUGACAUGGAGGCAGGAACUGAAGCUAAGGCAGAGAGGAUGCUGUGUUCCAGCUUGCUCCCUGUAACACAGUCACAUCCACUGGAAACGGUGAGAGUCAGAGAGCCAGCACAGCUGCUGGGCACAGUCCCCCAGAGCUGAGCCGAAUACUGCGACUGCUGCCUUUUUGUCUCUCACUUUAGGGUUUUGGUCUCUGUGUGCUGCGUUUCUGGGGGCUUUCUGCAUUAUGAUUCAUUUUAUGACUUUUCUUUUUCUUUUUUAAAGAUUUAUUUAUUAUAUGUGACUACACUGUAGCUAUCUUCAGACACCCUAGAAGAGGGCAUCAAAUCUCAUCACGGAUGGUUGUGCUCCU